GACGAACGCUGGCGGCGUGCCUAACACAUGCAAGUCGAGCGAUGAAGUUUCCUUUGGGAAACGGAUUAGCGGCGGACGGGUGAGUAACACGUGGGUAACCUGCCUCAUAGAGGGGAAUAGCCUCCCGAAAGGGAGAUUAAUACCGCAUAAUAUUACAGUUUCGCAUGAAACAGUAAUUAAAGGAGCAAUCCGCUAUGAGAUGGACCCGCGGCGCAUUAGCUAGUUGGUGAGGUAACGGCUCACCAAGGCGACGAUGCGUAGCCGACCUGAGAGGGUGAUCGGCCACAUUGGGACUGAGACACGGCCCAGACUCCUACGGGAGGCAGCAGUGGGGAAUAUUGCACAAUGGGGGAAACCCUGAUGCAGCAACGCCGGGUGAGUGAUGACGGUCUUCGGAUUGUAAAGCUCUGUCUUUGGGGACGAUAAUGACGGUACCCAAGGAGGAAGCCACGGCUAACUACGUGCCAGCAGCCGCCGCCGUAA
rnacentral:rRNA from 1 species